AUUGAACGCUGGCGGCAGGCCUAACACAUGCAAGUCGAGCGGGAACUUCGGUUCUAGCGGCGGACGGGUGAGUAAUGCGUAGGAAGCUACCCGACAGAGGGGGAUACCAGUUGGAAACGACUGUUAAUACCGCAUAAUGUCUACGGACCAAAGUGUGGGACCUUCGGGCCACAUGCUGUCGGAUGCGCCUACGUGGGAUUAGCUAGUUGGUGAGGUAAUGGCUCACCAAGGCGACGAUCCCUAGCUGGUUUGAGAGGAUGAUCAGCCACACUGGAACUGAGACACGGUCCAGACUCCUACGGGAGGCAGCAGUGGGGAAUAUUGGACAAUGGGCGCAAGCCUGAUCCAGCCAUGCCGCGUGUGUGAAGAAGGCCUUCGGGUUGUAAAGCACUUUCAGCGAGGAGGAAGGAGUUGUAGUUAAUAGCUGCAACUUUUGACGUUACUCGCAGAAGAAGCACCGGCUAACUCUGUGCCAGCAGCCGCCGUAAUAC
rnacentral:rRNA from 1 species